GUGCUUUCUUUGGUGGCACAUACUCUAAAAUUGAAGUAAUAUAGAGAUAAGCCCGGCCCCUGCACAAGGAUGCCACUCCAAUUUGGGAAGUUUUCCAUAUUUGU
ensembl:snRNA U6 U6 spliceosomal RNA